rnacentral:rRNA from 1 species
UACGGAGGGUGCAAGCGUUAAUCGGAAUUACUGGGCGUAAAGCGUGCGCAGGCGGUUGUGCAAGACAGAUGUGAAAUCCCCGGGCUCAACCUGGGAAUUGCAUUUGUGACUGCACGGCUAGAGUGUGUCAGAGGGGGGUAGAAUUCCACGUGCAGCAGUGAAAUGCGUAGAGAUGUGGAGGAAUACCGAUGGCGAAGGCAGCACCCUGGGAUAACACUGACGCUCAUGCACGAAAGCGUGGGGAGCAAACAGG